rnacentral:rRNA from 1 species
AGCAAACGCUGGCGGCAGGCCUAACACAUGCAAGUCGAACGAACUCUUCGGAGUUAGUGGCGGACGGGUGAGUAACACGUGGGAACGUGCCUUUAGGUUCGGAAUAACUCAGGGAAACUUGUGCUAAUACCGAAUGUGCCCUUCGGGGGAAAGAUUUAUCGCCUUUAGAGCGGCCCGCGUCUGAUUAGCUAGUUGGUGAGGUAAAGGCUCACCAAGGCGACGAUCAGUAGCUGGUCUGAGGGGAUGAUCAGCCACAUUGGGACUGAGACACGGCCCAAACUACUACGGGAGGCAGCAGUGGGGAAUCUUGCGAAAUGGGCGAAAGCCUGACGCAGCCAUGCCGCGUGAAUGAUGAAGGUCUUAGGAUUGUAAAAUUCUUUCACCGGGGACGAUAAUGACGGUACCCGGAGAAGAAGCCCCGGCUAACUUCGUGCCAGCAGCCGCCGUAA